UAUCAAAUUCAGUUUAUUGUUAAAAGUUUUUCUUUGUUCCAGAUAAUUUUCUUGGUUUGGGCAUUGUAAGUCUUGAAGAGUUGUCAAAAAAUUCCAGUAAUAGACAUGUUAUUCCAUUGCAAUCACGUCCUUUAGAAAAAGAUGACGUUACUGGUGCACUUACAGUUGAGUUUUCAUUUCUGGAUGAAGAAGGCCAUUCUGUAUCUGGUAUUAAUAUAGGUAAAAUAGUUGAAACAAAUAGUCGUGUCACUCCUGGUGGCACUGUUAUCACAACAACAACAAUUAAACGAACAGUGGAUGGAAAAG